UCCCUGGUGGUCCAGUGGUUAGGACUCUGUGCUUACCACUGCAGGGGGCACAGGUUCGAUCCCUGGUCAGGGAA